rnacentral:rRNA from 1 species
GUGGGGAAUAUUGGGCAAUGGGGGAAACCCUGACCCAGCGACGCCGCGUGAGGGAAGAAGGCCUUAGGGUCGUAAACCUCUGUUGUGUGGGAAGAAGAGCGUGACGGUACCACACGAGGAAGUCCCGGCUAACUACGUGCCAGCAGCCGCGGUAAUACGUAGGGGACGAGCGUUGUCCGGAUUUACUGGGCGUAAAGGGCGCGUAGGCGGUCAUUUAAGUCAGCUGUGAAAUGGUUUGGCUUAACCGGAUCAUGCGGUUGAAACUGGAUGACUGGAGUGCUGGAGAGGCAAGUGGAAUUCCCAGUGUAGCGGUGAAAUGCGUAGAUAUUGGGAAGAACACCGGUGGCGAAGGCGACUUGCUGGCCAGCAACUGACGCUGAGGCGCGAAAGCCAGGGGAGCAAACGGGAUUAGAUACCCUUGUAGUCC